UACGGAGGGCGCAAGUGUUGUUCGGAAUCAUUGGGCGUAAAGCGCGUGUAGGCGGCUUGGCAAGUCGAGUGUGAAAGCCCGGGGCUCAACCCCGGAAGGUCGCUCGAAACUGCCUCGCUAGAGUCCCGGAGAGGAAGGCGGAAUUCCCGGUGUAGAGGUGAAAUUCGUAGAUAUCGGGAGGAACACCAGCGGCGAAGGCGGCCUUCUGGACGGUGACUGACGCUGAGACGCGAAAGCGUGGGGAGCAAACAGG
rnacentral:misc_RNA from 1 species